rnacentral:RNase_MRP_RNA from 1 species
GCUUUGUGAUAUAGAAUCGCUGUCGAAGCUACAUACGGAAGAGACGUUUCGGCGGUCUCUUCAUCAAUCUGGCUUUGGGGAAAGUCUCCGGACCCGUGGCAGAGAGUGCCAGCCGUCGUUGGCCCACCUCUGAUACCAGCUUGGUCGCAAAGAAGCCGGGCACUUGGACUCGCAUCUCAGUGUGACUCACCGCUCAGUUUUGCUUUUCCAUUCCUUCCACCAUUUCUUUACUUCUUCUUUCGAGGGUUGUAAAGGAUGGGGGUUGGAUUUGGCUCAGCAAAAUGGUGAGGCUCAUUGUGGUGUGACCCAUUUUCCCGCGCCGAGCGGAGCUGCGUACCAGGAUGUUUGUCACCGCAAAGUAAUGCGAUUGACGGCCAGUCGUGCUCUUCAGCGCCGCUGGCCGUUAACUCAACGGAGCUUACUCUGAGACAGAG